rnacentral:tRNA from 1 species
UUCAACGUAGCUCAAGCCCGGUAGAGCACUCGCCUGUUAAGUGAGAGGAUGGGGGUUCGAAUCCCUCCGUUGGAG